UUGCAAUGAUGAUAAAGAUCCAACUCUGAUUAUCUGUGAAGUCAGUUACAUUACGAGCUUUUUAACACUGAGCAUU